rnacentral:rRNA from 1 species
GAAAGAAACUAACAAGGAUUCCCCUAGUAACUGCGAGUGAAGCGGGAAGAGCUCAAAUUUAAAAUCUGGCGUGCCUUUGGCCGUCCGAGUUGUAGUCUGGAGAAGUGUUUUCCGUGUUGGACCGUGUAUAAGUCUCUUGGAACAGGGCGUCAUAGAGGGUGAGAAUCCCGUCUUUGGCACGGACUACCAAUGCUUUGUGAUGCGCUCUCAAAGAGUCGAGUUGUUUGGGAAUGCAGCUCAAAAUGGGUGGUAAAUUCCAUCUAAAGCUAAAUACAGGCGAGAGACCGAUAGCGAACAAGUACCGUGAGGGAAAGAUGAAAAGCACUUUGGAAAGAGAGUUAAACAGUACGUGAAAUUGCUGAAAGGGAAACGCUUGANGUCAGUCACGUCUGCCGGGACUCAGCCUUGCUUCUGCUUGGUGUACUUUCUGGUUUGAUGGGCCAACAUCAAUUUCAACCGUCGGAGAAAGGCUUUGGGAAUGUGGCACCUUUGGGUGUGUUAUAGCCCUUUGUUGUAUACGACGGUUGGGAUUGAGGACUGCAGCACGCCUUCAUGGCCGGGGUUCGCCCACGUACGUGCUUAGGAUGUUGGCAUAAUGGCUUUAAGCGACC